UACGGGAGGCAGCAGUGGGGAAUAUUGCUACAAUGGGCGCAAGCCUUGAUGCAGUCCAUGCCGCGUGUAUGAAGUAAGGCCUUCGGGUUGUAAAGUACUUUCAGCAGUGAGGAAGGUGGGUAUGUUAAUAGCAUAUUCAUUUGACGUUAGCUGCAGAAGAAGCACCGGCUAACUCCGUGCCAGCAGCCGCGGUAAUACGGAGGGUGCGAGCGUUAAUCGGAAUUACUGGGCGUAAAGCGCAUGCAGGUGGUUUGUUAAGUCAGAUGUGAAAGCCCGGGGCUCAACCUCGGAAUUGCAUUUGAAACUGGCAAACUAGAGUACUGUAGAGGGGGUAGAAUUUCAGGUGUAGCGGUGAAAUGCGUAGAGAUCUGAAGGAAUACCGGUGGCGAAGGCGGCCCCCUGGACAGAUACUGACACUCAGAUGCGAAAGCGUGGGGAGCAAACAGGAUUAGAUACCCUGGUAG
rnacentral:rRNA from 1 species